rnacentral:lncRNA from 1 species
CCAAAACUGAAAUGAGCUCAAAUAGGCUUAGGAUGGGCCAAUGAUAGGACCGAGGCCAAUCCGUAAAUGAAAUGGGCUCUACAUCUGAGUCCAAAUCUGAUCUGAUUUUGUUCGGGCCUAGCUUGAAGCCUAUUGGACUGUCCGAGCUUAUUUUCAACCUUAUCCACCGUUAAAUGGACUAUUUUUGUUUUGAUGUGUAUCAUGUUUGUCCUUAUCAGGAUGUUGGUUCUAUUGUUGUUGUGGUGGUUCUAGUAUGA